rnacentral:RNase_P_RNA from 1 species
CUGUGCGACCGAGCGAUGGCUCUGAGGCGUUUACGUUUCAGAGAGGAAAGUCCGGACAGCAAAAUGUAGGGUGCCUUGUGAAAGCAGGGGAGUUGUCACUUGUGACAACGACAGUUAGAGCAACAGAGACGAGUCCCGCCUUUGGAGGGGGUGAAACGGGCAAUCCUCCCCGCUGCAACCAACGACCUUCACCAUAAUGGACACAUUUCCUUUUUCGGUGAUAAUGACAUGGGCAUAGAUAGAUCAUCGUUUCAAACAGAAUCCGGCUUAUGAGUCGCACAGUCUA